rnacentral:lncRNA from 1 species
AUGUUUCCUUUGCCUUGUGAGGCCUCAAGCAAACUGUAUGAUCCUGACAGUUUUGGCAGGAAUCCGAAGCUGGAGAGAAGCACCAUGCCUGGUUUCCCCUCCUUCUCCUUAUCCUGUUUGACUUCUGCUUCUCAGAAGAAUGUUGACACCACAGUGCAGUGUUGGUACUGCCAUGGGUUUUGCUGUCUUCACCCAAGUAGAAAGAUAAGGUAUUAAAUGGGAUGUGGGAAAUCUAUCAUAGCAAAAGUGGCAUGUUCCACAGCAUGCCUGGGGGAUUCUCAGUGAGGCAAGAGCCAAACAGGUGGCAACAGUUAGAAGAAAGUCAAGGGAGGAAAUGAUACCUUUGACAUGAGGCCAAAUCUAUGAUGCAAGAACACAGAGAACUUCCUCAUGAGUUAAAUUUAGAACAUUUAUUAAAAGACGGGCUAAUAUAGUCCUGUGAAUGGGAGAAAAAGGAGGCAGGGCAGGAAUAAGUUAUGUUUAAAGGGAAGAGGAACUAUACUGGAGUGGACAUCAGGUGGGGAACCAAGGUUUUGGGAGGGCAAAGUUAGAUUUGGGGCAGAAAGUGGGAUAAGAAAGCACCUCAAACUAAGACUCUGAAACUCAACACAAAGCCAGUUACAUAGGGAAAUUGAGAUUUCCAAAAAGAGAAGAACAUGCCUGGAGAAUCUAGGAGAAAGGAGAAAAAUGGAAAAUCAAAGAGGAGAUAUGAACUGACCUGAGCUUUCAGAGGACACGGAGUGCUCAGGUCCCUCAUUCACAUCCAUGAUGGAGGAAUGAGACCUGCAAGUGGGG